GACGAACGCUGGCGGCGUGCUUAACACAUGCAAGUCGAACGGAAAGGCCCUGCUUUUGUGGGGUGCUCGAGUGGCGAACGGGUGAGUAACACGUGAGUAACCAGCCCUUGACUUUGGGAUAACUUCAGGAAACUGGGGCUAAUACCGGAUAGGAGCUCCUGCUGCAUGGUGGGGGUUGGAAAGUUUCGGCGGUUGGGGAUGGACUCGCGGCUUAUCAGCUUGUUGGUGGGGUAGUGGCUUACCAAGGCUUUGACGGGUAGCCGGCCUGAGAGGGUGACCGGCCACAUUGGGACUGAGAUACGGCCCAGACUCCUACGGGAGGCAGCAGUGGGGAAUAUUGCACAAUGGGCGGAAGCCUGAUGCAGCAACGCCGCGUGCGGGAUGACGGCCUUCGGGUUGUAAACCGCUUUCGCCUGUGACGAAGCGUGAGUGACGGUAAUGGGUAAGGAAGCACCGGCUAACUACGUG
rnacentral:rRNA from 1 species